GAAGAAACCGUUCUACGGAAGCCCAGAUGAGACAACUUGAGACGGGAUUCAGAAACGCUGAUUUUAGUAACCUUAACCCACGGCCCUUGGUGGGAACUUCGGCUGUGUGGGAAUUAGCCUUUGGGGGACUGAUGGUGAUGCUGAAAUCUUAUUGCGUAGGAAAUCAAGUACAACAAAGAAGACCCGUCGUGAGAGGAGAGUGCGGAAGAAAUGCGAAGUCUACGGGAGGUGGCAGCUGCAGAAGCUUGGUGUUGGAUUUGGAGUUAGGAGACCGGGAGGAGCCCAGCUUCCGGUCCAGAGGGUUAUCUUGUUGACUUGCACGACUGCAAACGCCCUGAGCUGCUUUUGCAGUCUGAAACAUCAGCGAUCCCAUCAAAAUAUUCUCUGUUUCUUGGGAUGUAAGAAACAUCCCAAGGCGGGAUUUAGAGCGAGAGAUUUGGACUCGAUUUAAAUACAGACAAUAUAGUAUGCAUUUACUAACACCACAUCUCACCCCCACGAAACUUGGUAAGGGCAGCAACAGAACUUUAUCUGCCAUAUGCACUCCUGUAUUCCCAUUACCAAAUAGUGCCAGGGACUAAAUGAAUAUUUGCCCAAUGAAUGAGUUUUAAGUAGGAAACGUUUGCAUAGAAUAAUUUUGUUUCUUUUGGAGUUCAAGUCUUCGGGUAUUUUACCCUUCCCAAUCCAAAGAAAAGUCUCUGAGUGAAGAGAUGGGAACAAAAU
rnacentral:antisense_RNA from 1 species